UACGGGGGGGGCAAGCGUUGUUCGGAAUUACUGGGCGUAAAGGGCUCGUAGGCGGCCAACUAAGUCAGACGUGAAAUCCCUAGGCUCAACCUAGGAACUGCGUCUGAUACUGGAUGGCUUGAAUCCGGGAGAGGGAUGCAGAAUUCCAGGUGUAGCGGUGAAAUGCGUAGAUAUCUGGAGGAAUACCGGUGGCGAAGGCAGGUCUCUGGGCUGACACUGACGCUCAUGCACGAAAGCGUGGGGAGCAAACAGG
rnacentral:rRNA from 1 species